rnacentral:rRNA from 1 species
UGGGGAAUAUUGCACAAUGGGCGAAAGCCUGAUGCAGCAACGCCGCGUGAGUGAUGAAGGCCUUCGGGUUGUAAAGCUCUGUCUUCUGGGACGAUAAUGACGGUACCAGAGGAGGAAGCCACGGCUAACUACGUGCCAGCAGCCGCGGUAAUACGUAGGUGGCAAGCGUUGUCCGGAUUUACUGGGCGUAAAGGAUGCGUAGGCGGAUACUUAAGUCAGAUGUGAAAAUCCCGGGCUUAACUUGGGAACUGCAUUUGAAACUGGGGAUCUAGAGUGCGGGAGAGGAAAGUGGAAUUCCUAGUGUAGCGGUGAAAUGCGUAGAGAUUAGGAAGAACACCCGUGGCGAAGGCGACUUUCUGGACCGUAACUGACGCUGAGGCAUGAAAGCGUGGGGA